UGAUAAGAUAUUUUAACACCGUGUCAGUUGUCAUUCGGAUAUCUAAAUAGUCACCAUGUUUGUCCUGCUGUUUGCUGCUUGCCUUCUUCCAGCCAUCUUUGGGGCCGAUCCAGAUAUUGAUGGGUUUAGGGAUCAUGUAAAAAAAGAAGCCGAAAGACUAUGGGUGGAAAUGGAUUACAAUAAAAAUAAUGAAUUCGACAGAGACGAUCUUCAAACUCUGAUCAAUGAUUAUGAUUCUAAUGGUGACAAUGAAGUAACUGUAGCAGAAUUCGAGUUCCAUUUUGAUAUGGCGGAACCUACCUUGGCGAUUGUUGCUAAGGCCUUAUUUGCUGAGUAUGAUGAUAACGAGGACGGUUUUAUAGAUACUAAAGAUUUAGAUGGUGUACACGACAGAAUGGACCACAUCACCAAGGAUGGAAAGAUUGACCAUGAUGAAUUUGUUGCCUAUUACACUGAGCUUUUGACACUCUUGUACGUUCUUCAAUCACAACAAGGUCAGGCAUAAGACGGGACGCCAUGACACAAGGCAUAAAAAUCACAAUAAAAACUUGAAACAAU